rnacentral:rRNA from 1 species
GCUUGCUCCCUGGUGUUAGCGGCGGACGGGUGAGUAACACGUGGGUAACCUGCCUGUAAGACUGGGAUAACUCCGGGAAACCGGGGCUAAUACCGGAUGGUUGUUUGAACCGCAUGGUUCAAACAUAAAAGGUGGCUUCGGCUACCACUUACAGAUGGACCCGCGGCGCAUUAGCUAGUUGGUGAGGUAACGGCUCACCAAGGCAACGAUGCGUAGCCGACCUGAGAGGGUGAUCGGCCACACUGGGACUGAGACACGGCCCAGACUCCUACGGGAGGCAGCAGUAGGGAAUCUUCCGCAAUGGACGAAAGUCUGACGGAGCAACGCCGCGUGAGUGAUGAAGGUUUUCGGAUCGUAAAGCUCUGUUGUUAGGGAAGAACAAGUACCGUUCGAAUAGGGCGGUACCUUGACGGUACCUAACCAGAAAGCCACGGCUAACUACGUGCC